AUUGAACGCUGGUGGCAGGCCUAACACAUGCAAGUCGAGCGGUAGAGAGAAGCUUGCUUCUCUUGAGAGCGGCGGACGGGUGAGUAAUGCCUAGGAAUCUGCCUGGUAGUGGGGGAUAACGUUCGGAAACGGACGCUAAUACCGCAUACGUCCUACGGGAGAAAGCAGGGGACCUUCGGGCCUUGCGCUAUCAGAUGAGCCUAGGUCGGAUUAGCUAGUUGGUGAGGUAAUGGCUCACCAAGGCGACGAUCCGUAACUGGUCUGAGAGGAUGAUCAGUCACACUGGAACUGAGACACGGUCCAGACUCCUACGGGAGGCAGCAGUGGGGAAUAUUGGACAAUGGGCGAAAGCCUGAUCCAGCCAUGCCGCGUGUGUGAAGAAGGUCUUCGGAUUGUAAAGCACUUUAAGUUGGGAGGAAGGGUUGUAGAUUAAUACUCUGCAAUUUUGACGUUACCGACAGAAUAAGCACCGGCUAACUCUGUGCCAGCAGCCGCGGUAAUACAGAGGGUGCAAGCGUUAAUCGGAAUUACUGGGCGUAAAGCGCGCGUAGGUGGUUUGUUAAGUUGGAUGUGAAAUCCCCGGGCUCAACCUGGGAACUGCAUUCAAAACUGACUGACUAGAGUAUGGUAGAGGGUGGUGGAAUUUCCUGUGUAGCGGUGAAAUGCGUAGAUAUAGGAAGGAACACCAGUGGCGAAGGCGACCACCUGGACUAAUACUGACACUGAGGUGCGAAAGCGUGGGGAGCAAACAGGAUUAGAUACCCUGUAGUCCACGCCGUAAACGAUGUCAACUAGCCGUUGGAAGCCUUGAGCUUUUAGUGGCGCAGCUAACGCAUUAAGUUGACCGCCUGGGGAGUACGGCCGCAAGGUUAAAACUCAAAUGAAUUGACGGGGGCCCGCACAAGCGGUGGAGCAUGUGGUUUAAUUCGAAGCAACGCGAAGAACCUUACCAGGCCUUGACAUCCAAUGAACUUUCUAGAGAUAGAUUGGUGCCUUCGGGAACAUUGAGACAGGUGCUGCAUGGCUGUCGUCAGCUCGUGUCGUGAGAUGUUGGGUUAAGUCCCGUAACGAGCGCAACCCUUGUCCUUAGUUACCAGCACGUUAUGGUGGGCACUCUAAGGAGACUGCCGGUGACAAACCGGAGGAAGGUGGGGAUGACGCCAAGUCAUCAUGGCCCUUACGGCCUGGGCUACACACGUGCUACAAUGGUCGGUACAGAGGGUUGCCAAGCCGCGAGGUGGAGCUAAUCCCAUAAAACCGAUCGUAGUCCGGAUCGCAGUCUGCAACUCGACUGCGUGAAGUCGGAAUCGCUAGUAAUCGCGAAUCAGAAUGUCGCGGUGAAUACGUUCCCGGGCCU
rnacentral:rRNA from 1 species